rnacentral:tRNA from 1 species
GGGCCCGUCGUCUAGCGGCUAGGAUGCCACCCUGACACGGUGGAGGUCCCGGGUUCAAUUCCCGGCGGGCCCA